UACGGGGGGGGCAAGCGUUGUUCGGAAUUACUGGGCGUAAAGGGCUCGUAGGCGGCCAACUAAGUCAGACGUGAAAUCCCUCGGCUUAACCGGGGAACUGCGUCUGAUACUGGAUGGCUUGAGUUUGGGAGAGGGAUGCGGAAUACCAGGUGUAGCGGUGAAAUGCGUAGAUAUCUGGAGGAACACCGGUGGCGAAGGCGGCAUCCUGGACCAACACUGACGCUGAGGAGCGAAAGCCAGGGGAGCAAACGGG
rnacentral:rRNA from 1 species